rnacentral:rRNA from 1 species
AUGAGAGGCCUUCAUCGAAUCAACUCAACUGAGCUGCUACUCCAAUUUCUCUCCUUAUGGAACCUGCUCUCCAACAUUCAGCUCUCGGAUCGCGCGGAUGGCAUACGUUGGAAUCUUACGGCAGACGGUCAGUACUCCGCCUCCUCCGCCUAUGCAGUGCAAUUCCUCGGCCGUAUCCAAUUUCCUGUUUUGAAUCAAGUCUGGCGACUCAAGAUCGAGCCCAAGGUCAGAUUCUUCAUUUGGCUGCUGCUGCAAAAUAGACUGUGGACCUCGGAUCGGCUCAGUGCCAGGGGUUGGCCAAACCAGUCAGACUGCCCGCUAUGUGAUCAAUCGCUGGAAUGCGCCACUCACCUGUUCUUGAUGUGCCCCUUCGCCAAAGAGGUAUGGAUGCGCUCUGCAAGUAACUUUCAGCCUGCAUCUAGAGUAGCCCUAUCCAAGACCUCGAUUUUAGGCUGGUGGAGCAAACUGUGCCGCAUGGAUAAGGGCACUGCGGCCUAUACUGCUUGGCACAUUUGGAAGGCACGCAAUGGCCGUAUCUUUCAACAGCAUACGGUUUCGGCGCUGCAGACUUCUCAAUCUAUUAGAGAGAGCACUAGCCUCCUUCUGGAGGCGCGAGAGAUGUAG